GUUAGGGUUAGGAUAAUGGUUAGGGUUAGGGUUAGAGCUAGGGUUAGGAUAAUGGUUAGGGUUAGGAUAAUGGUUAGGGUUAGGGUUAGGAUAAUGGUUAGGGUUAGGAUAAUGGUUAGGGUUAGGAUAAUGGUUAGGAUAAUGGUUAGGGUUAUGAUAAUGGUUAGGGUUAGGAUAAUGGUUAGGGUUAGGAUAAUGGUUAGGGUUAUGAUAAUGGUUAGGGUUAGGAUAAUGGUUAGGGUUAGGAUAAGGGUUAGGGUUAGGAUAAUGGUUAGGGUUAGGGUUAGAGCUAGGGUUAGGGUUAGAUUAGGGUUAGGAUAAUGGUUAAGGUUAGGGUUAGAGCUAGGAUUAGGGUUAGGGUUAGGAUAAUGGUAUAGGUUAGGGUUAGAGCUAGGGUUAGGGUUAGGGUUAGUACACUGAACAAAAAUAAAAACGCAACAUGUAAAGUGUUGGUCUCAUGUUUCAUGAGCUGAAAUAAAAGAUCCCAGAAAUGUUCAAUACGCACAAAAAAAAUAUUUAUAAACAUUUUAUUCACAGGUGUGUUUACAUCCCUGUUAGUGAGCAUUUCUCCUUUGCCAAGAUAAUCCAUCCACCUGACAGGCGCAAUAAACUGAUCACACAGGUGCACUUUGUGCUGGGGACAAUAAAAGGCCACCCUAAAUGUGUAGUUUUGUCACAACUCAAUGUCACAGAUGUCUCAAGUUUUGAUGAAGCGUGCAAUUGGCAUGCUGACUGCAGGAAUGUCCACCAGAACUGUUGC
rnacentral:lncRNA from 1 species